rnacentral:rRNA from 1 species
AUUGCAGGACACAUUGAACAUCGACAUUUUGAACGCAUAUUGCGGCCAAGGGUCCGUCCUUUGGCCACGCCCGUCUGAGGGUCGGCU